AGAGUUGAAUGAAGUAGCCUACAUGUUGAUCCCAUUUGUAACAGCAGAGCAAGAUCCGUUUAUGUUGCUCAAAGACAAAUGCUGCAUGCUAUGCUUUCAGCAUUUUACAGUUCAGACAAUCCAUCAUCAGAUACAAGAAUAAACCUGUAUGGCACAGAAGCAGCUGUAAUAUUAGUAUGAAAUGAAUCCACAAAUUUGAUCUAAAUAGGUAUGCUACAUUUGAUACUGAUUUCGGUGUUGAAUAUUCUCCUUCAACAUUUAGGCUUGUGGUGUUCAGUCUUCUGGAACACACAUGGACCUUUCAGAGUUGGCUGGAGUCACUCAGUCUACCCCAAAGAAGAGCAAAGACAACAGCGCUGAACAGUCCACAUCUAGUCUGCUCUCAGCUUUGACCUUAUCUCUGACUAGUCCAGAACCAGCCGUGGUCAGGCCAGGCACACAGCCCACACUAUCUGGCAGAUACCUGGCACGGCCUCCAACGUGGAAACUUCAAGAGGUAAGCAUUGCAUCACAAAUGUUGCCGUUGAUGUUUCAAGCCAAGAGACUUGACAUUGUGAACUGUAUAUUUAUUUAUUUUUAAUUGCAAGGUAUUGGGUGCUACAUCGGCAUCAUGGAUUCUGCCUCAUUCUGCCCCAGAAGACAUUUCACCCGUGAGUGAAUGGCUUGCUUUUCCAGCCCUAUCUAACUGUAUGCUUUGAUGUCAUUGUUGAACUCUGAUUUAAAAACUUGCUUUGUUUCAUAAAAUCCAAAAUAUAUCCCUGUAAAUUCCACAGGAAGAUGAAGAUGAUCCUCUACAUGAAAUGAGCACAAGUUUUGGUGAAUUUGGACUAAACGAUCCAGCUGACGAUAGCUUCGAGCCACUGAGUGACACCUCCCCAUCUAGUCCAGGAUCGUGUUCAGGUUCUACAUCCAGUAAAGGCUCUGAGAAUAGCUCGGCAGACAGGAGGUGGUUGGUGGAUGAGGCUAAACUGAUGGAACUUUUUAAAACAUGCCACCAAUGCGGAACAGCCAUCGAAGAGCAGACCACAACACAACAUGGAAGCAAAAUAAAAAUUAAAUGGACAUGCCUGCAAGGACACAGCGGAGAAUGGGAAUUGUGCCCGGACCCGAGGCAGAUGGGACCUAACAACAUACUGACCUGUGCUGCCAUCUUGUUUACAGGAGCAACCUUCACAGAUAUAAAAGACUGGGCAUAACUUGUCAACCUACAACUCCCCAGUAAAUCACAAUACUAUGCCAUCCAAUCCAAAUGCCUCAUUCCAGCUGUGAACGACGCAUACAAGGCUCAGCAAGAUAAAAACAUUGAGCAUGUCAGGGAACUGUGCUUCCGGACAGAAAGUUGACUUGGGAGGAGAUGCCAGGUGUGAUAGCCCGGGUAUGCAUAAUUAUUAAUUCAAUUUGAGUGUAAUUUUGAACACCAUAAGGUACAGCUAUAUUUAUGUGUAUGUAUUUAUUGUACAGGUUUCAGCGCCAAAUUCUCCACAUACUCCUUCCAGGAUGAUGCAACUGAAAAAAUUCCAGUUAGUCCAGGUAAAUCUGCAUGAAACUUUUGUGAACAAAAAUAUAUUACCAAGACAAGAUGUAUCCAGUUGGUUGGCUGAUAAAUAAGAAUGUUAUUCCAUAGGUCACAGAGGCCCCCAGCUCUGUUGCCAUGGAGGCAAUUGGAUUUCAAAGAGGCCUGGACCAUCUUCUUUCAAUGGAUUUGGAUGUUGGUGUCAUAACCACUGAUCGAGCUCCCUCUAUACGGAAAAUUAUGAGGGAGAGCUAUGGCCACAUCCGUCAUGAGUUUGACACAUGGCAUGUCAGUAAGGGCAUAAAGAAAAAACUUCUCAAUCUAGGCAACAAAAAAUAAAAUAGAGAUCUACUCCCAUGGCUAAAAUCUAUCUGCAAUCACCUGUACUGGUCCUGUAGCUCAAGUCAUGGUGAUGGAAAGGCAAGAAGGAACUUAUGUAUUGUCAAUGGGCAGGGGCACCAUAGUGCCAAAGACUGCACAAAAGCAAUAGGUGAAAUCUUUUGUGUAAAUUGUGAAUUGUGUAACCCAAAACCUUCAUUUCGUCUUUCAGGAAUGUGUGCGUCGGUGGACGUCACUGCUGCACCACAUCUGUGGUGUGCAUCGAUGGGAGGAGGCUGGGGUUGAACAUACAUGUCAUCAUGCACCAUUGACGGAGGAGGAACAACGAAAAAGAGGUGGAUGAAGUCUGAUUCUCCAGCGUUCCGGGCUGUGAAAGACGUACUCCUGGGAAAGAAUCUUCUGCGUGACUUGCAGCAGAUGGCCCUUUUCAAGCACACAGGGUCCCUUGAGGUAUACCUCUCAGGGAUGCUGAAGUAUGAACCGAAAAGGCUCCACUUCAGCUAUGACACCAUGCUGGCCCAACUGGCAGUCAUGGAUCAUAACGCAAAUGUUGGCAGGCCACAGGCUAAAACAGCAGAAGGUAAAGAGAAGUCUGCUUCUUUAAAUCUGUCAUAAAU